UACAGAGGGCGCAAGCGUUGUUCGGAAUUACUGGGCGUAAAGCGUGCGCAGGCGGCGCGUUAAGACAGGUGUGAAAGCCCCGAGCUUAACUUGGGAAUUGCGCUUGUGACUGGCGUGCUGGAGUGUGGCAGAGGGAGGUGGAAUUCCACGUGUAGCAGUGAAAUGCGUAGAGAUGUGGAGGAACACCGAUGGCGAAGGCAGCCUCCUGGGCCAGCACUGACGCUCAUGCACGAAAGCGUGGGGAGCAAACAGG
rnacentral:rRNA from 1 species